UAUUUCUGCCCAAUGACCACUGAUCUUCUUGAAAUCUAGCUGGGUAGAUAGCCAAUGAGCUGAGGUAAACGCCAGUAUGUAAUGGUUUGGGGUUGGACCACAAUUCCUUGGUUGUAAUCGCACGCGCAGGGAACUCCAUUCUCACCUUGACGAUCAGAGGAGUUGCUGUAAGGCUUUUUACACACAGCUGUAUUUCGGAAAGUUGUAGUUUCAACGAUUUCAUUGAAGAUAUCAUGGCAAAUAAAUCAUGUAAAGCAAAGUCAAACUCUAAAGUGAAAAAGUGAAAGUGAGACAGAUUUUUUUUGUUUGAGGAAUCUCGGAGUGUUAUGAUUCAAACGAACUGAGGAGCUGUUUCUGCAAGGACAGGAAGUACUUCUGGACGGUGAUAGCGACUCCGACUGGGAUCCCCCGGUGCCAAGCUGCCCGCUCUACCUGUGCCCCCAGUGGUGUUCAUAUGCCACAGUUCAUUACUGCAGGCAUGACUGUGCCUCAGGGCCAAAAGGGCACAGCAUGGCGGCGUCGUUGUGUUCUGUGUCGCAUGAAAUGCACCACUUGUUCAGUUUACCUCUGCUUUACAUCAGAAAGAGACUGCUAUGGGACAUGGCACAGGCAGCAAAAUAUUAUGACGGGGACUUCCAAGGUGUGUACUGUUUUUUUUGUAAUAUUUAUUUUUCAAUAUUUUUAUAAACAUUUUUUUUGUGUGUAGAAUUGCUUUUUGAUAUGUUGUAUAUAGUUAUUUGCACUGCUGUAUAUAGUUAUAGGUCAUUACACCAAUUCGGCCACUUGGGUACAUAUGGGCAACUUGUGUGGGACACCUGGGUGACUUCAUGCUAAAUGUCAUGUAGCUCACCCAUUCCUGAAGUUAUCAGUCUGAAACUUUGCACACCUACAGUUGCCCUCUUGUGUUAUCGAUCAAAAUUAUCUCCAGCAUCCGAUCUGACUGUGUGGCUAUUCUAGUACAUGUGAAAGAUGAUACUACAACAAUAAAAAUCAGAAAAUGUA